CGCGUAGGCGGGAUGGCAAGUCGGUCGUGAAAUCCUUCGGCUCAACCGAAGAACGUCGGCCGAUACUGCCGUUCUUGAGGGAUGCAGAGGAGACUGGAAUUCCCGGUGUAGCGGUGAAAUGUGUAGAGAUCGGGAGGAACACCGGUGGCGAAGGCGGGUCUCUGGGCAUUUCCUGACGCUGAGGCGCGAAAGCGUGGGGAGCAAACG
rnacentral:rRNA from 1 species